rnacentral:rRNA from 1 species
UGGAUCCAGACUUUGAUUCUGGCUCAGGAUGAACGCUAGCUACAGGCUUAACACAUGCAAGUCGAGGGGAAACGACAUCGAAAGCUUGCUUUUGAUGGGCGUCGACCGGCGCACGGGUGAGUAACGCGUAUCCAACCUGCCCACCACUUGGGGAUAACCUUGCGAAAGUAAGACUAAUACCCAAUGAUAUCUCUAGAAGACAUCUGAAAGAGAUUAAAGAUUUAUCGGUGAUGGAUGGGGAUGCGUCUGAUUAGCUUGUUGGCGGGGUAACGGCCCACCAAGGCUACGAUCAGUAGGGGUUCUGAGAGGAAGGUCCCCCACAUUGGAACUGAGACACGGUCCAAACUCCUACGGGAGGCAGCAGUGAGGAAUAUUGGUCAAUGGACGAGAGUCUGAACCAGCCAAGUAGCGUGCAGGAUGACGGCCCUAUGGGUUGUAAACUGCUUUUAUAAGGGAAUAAAGUGAGUCUCGUGAGGCUUUUUGCAUGUACCUUAUGAAUAAGGACCGGCUAAUUCCGUGCCAGCAGCCGCGGUAAUACGGAAGG